rnacentral:lncRNA from 1 species
GAUAAUUUGGACUGCUUUAUUAACUAGAGAAAAAAUAUUACAAAAGUAGGGUUUUACUAAGCUAUAACUUCUAGAAGUCAAACUACUGUAUAUACAUUUACCAAUGAGUUUGGAUCAAUUAGCUAUAGAAAAGGCUAUUGGCUGUUAUAAUGAACUUCAAUGCAGUCUUUGUUGUCCUCAUUAGAACUACAAGCAUUGCUGAAAUUGGCUUGCAACUGUUAAACCUAUUGAUAGCAUCUCUAGCUUCAGAACCCAAGGCAACUUUUGCAGCUUUAAUAAUGCAUCCCUGUUCUGGAUGCUGCUUCAUUCACUUAUUUUUCCAGUUAUGGUCACCUGUGUCCGUUCAGAGGCUACUCUUCUAUUAGCUUCUCUAAAGCACAAUUCAUGGAUAUAUUUCUCAUGCACUACCACUUCUUUACUUUCUUUAGUGCAUGAGGACAAAAUAUGUAAUGCACGAGCUACUAAAUCUUGAAUGAGUCUUCUUAUGGCUUGAAGAUGAUGUCUCACUGCAAUUUUGCGGGAAGCCUGAGUUUUCCUUAAACUGCUUUGGAGUAGAACCUAAGUUCAAACUACAAUAAGGAGUGCAUAUCUCCUAAACAAUAUAAAUCAUAAAACUUAUUUUUACAUGUAACAUUCUAAUACUAGAGAUGAUCUGAACUUUUAUCUUCAUAAAUUUACAUUCUAGUACUGAUGAGGAUAUGAG